rnacentral:rRNA from 1 species
AUUGAACGCUGGCGGCAUGCCUUACACAUGCAAGUCGAACGGCAGCACGGGGGCAACCCUGGUGGCGAGUGGCGAACGGGUGAGUAAUACAUCGGAACGUGUCCUGUAGUGGGGGAUAGCCCGGCGAAAGCCGGAUUAAUACCGCAUACGACCUGAGGGAGAAAGCGGGGGAUCUUCGGACCUCGCGCUAUAGGGGCGGCCGAUGGCAGAUUAGCUAGUUGGUGGGGUAAAGGCCUACCAAGGCGACGAUCUGUAGCUGGUCUGAGAGGACGACCAGCCACCCUGGGACUGGGACACGGCCCAGACUCCUACGGGAGGCAGCAGUGGGGAAUUUUGGACAAUGGGGGCAACCCUGAUCCAGCAAUGCCGCGUGUGUGAAGAAGGCCUUCGGGUUGUAAAGCACUUUUGUCCGGAAAGAAAACCAUUGCCCUAAUAUGGUGGUGGGAUGACGGUACCGGAAGAAUAAGCACCGGCUAACUACGUGCCAGCAGCCGCAGUAAGAC